UCCAUUUGACUGCGUCUAGUCUUGUGACACGGGCUUUACACCUCCACUAAACAUUCCCGCCACCCCGCCCCAUCCGUCAUUCCUCUUGUCUUCCCGUGAUAAGCCCUGAAGUCACGUGACCCGAGUGGACAAGAAACCUGUUUUCGUCGCACGCUUCAGUGAAAUAUCGUUUCUUUCGUUUCUCCUCAGCCUUAAGAUGACGACGACAACAUUGUGGCUGCUGGCCCUGCUGGUGUGCGGCACGGGAGCUGCACCUCGCCAGCUGGACACAACCUGCACCCCCCUGACAUGCGCAGUCAUCUUGUGUCUCCGCCCAGACUGCCCCCCGCCCUCCGUCCUGGUGACCGGCGGCGACCCAUGCGGGUGUUGUCCUGCGUGUGCACAGCAAGUCGGUGAGGGCGCCUUGUGUGACAGGACUGUCACCACAGACAGCAAGGUGUGCAUGCCCGGCCUGAUCUGUCAUCCCACUUCUCGCACCUGUGUCGCUUCAAGCUAAAAGCAAACAUUCAGCUGAAGUUCGAGGUUCAAGAAUUGCAGGUUACUAAGUAUGACAAGUCACUGCCUUUCAAAUCAAAUGCAUUGGUUUCUCAACUGUGA